UACGGGGGGGAGCAAGCGUUGUUCGGAUUUACUGGGCGUAAAGGGCGCGUAGGCGGCGCAACAAGUCACUUGUGAAAUCUCCGGGCUUAACCCGGAGCGGUCAAGUGAUACUGUCGUGCUAGAGUGCGGAAGGGGCUACUGGAAUUCUCGGUGUAGCGGUGAAAUGCGUAGAUAUCAGGAGGAACACCAAUGGCGAAGGCAGCUCGCUGGGACGGUACUGACGCUGAGGCGCGAAAGCGUGGGGGAGCAAACAGG
rnacentral:rRNA from 1 species